AAACCGUCCGAGAAGCAAAUCGUCCAACAUGAACAAGUUGUACAUUGUCGCCUUUGUUGCCGCUUUCGUGGCCGUAGCUGCCGCAGUCGGAGGAGUAAAGGAUUUAGUUGGAAACUACUACGAUUUUACAACUGGACAAUUGGCUAGUUCUACAACCGGCAGAGUCUACAACCCUCUCUACGCUUACGAAACUCAUCUUCCAUACGCACCAUAUUCUUAUUAUCCAUCUUAUACUUAUUACACUCCCUCUACUUACUACCCUCCCUCUCCAUAUUAUCCAUAUUACCGUAGGGCUUACUACUUUAAAUAGAUGAAAAUGAUGCCAAGAUGUGUAGAAUGCUCCUGAAUUCGCCUUCAGUCUUCGCAGAUUCUUCUGUCGAGUCUUUAAUUUACGUUCGCUGUAAAUAAAUUAUCACGUUUUCAAUAAAAACUUUUUGUUCAUCAAAUAUUUUGUGUUGUUUCCACGUUAGUAUUUACGAUUUUCCGCUUAUAU